rnacentral:rRNA from 1 species
GCGAGUGAAGCGGGAAGAGCUCAAAUUUGAAAUCUGGCGGCUCCGCCGUCCGAGUUGUAAUCUGGAGAAGCGUUUUCCGUGSCGGACCGUGUACAAGUCCCUUGGAACAGGGCGUCAUAGAGGGUGAGAAUCCCGUCUUUGACACGGACUCCCGGUGCUCUGCGAUGCGCUCUCGAAGAGUCGAGUUGUUUGGGAAUGCAGCUCAAAAUGGGUGGUAAAUUCCAUCUAAAGCUAARUAUUGRCGAGAGACCGAUAGCGAACAAGUACCGUGAGGRAAAGAUGAAAAGCACUUUGGAAAGAGAGUAAAACAGUACGUGAAAUUGUUGAAAGGGAAACGCUUGGAGUCAGUCGCGUCUUCUGGAACUCAGCCUUGCUUCUGCUAGGUGCACUUUCCAGUUCGACGGSUCAGCAUCGGCUUUGGGAGGCGGACAAAGGCGCGGGGAAVGUGGCAGCUCCGGCUGUGUUAUAGCCCCGCGUUGUACGCGUCUCCCGGGACCGAGGAAUCCGGCGCUCGUCGCCUGKGAUGCUGGCGUAAUGRCUUUAAGCGACCCGUCUUGAAACACGGACCAAGGAGUGCUACRUGCUCGCGAGUGUKUGGGUGGAAAACCCGAGCGCGCAAUGAAVGUGAAAGUCGAGACCCUUUGCGGGGGCACCGACGCCCGAKCCUGAAGUUUACGGACGGCCUUGCGGUAGAGCGAGUAUGUUGCGACCCGAAAGAUGGUGAACUAUUCCUGAGGAGGGCGAAGCCAGAGGAAACUCUGGUGGAGGCUCGUAGCGGUUCUGACGUGCAAAUCGAUCGCAGGACUUGGGUAUAGGGGCGAAAGACUAAUCGAACCAUCUAGUAGCUGGYUCCUGCCGAGUUUCCCCUCAGGAA